rnacentral:rRNA from 1 species
GACGAACGCUGGCGGCGUGCUUAACACAUGCAAGUCGAACGGUAAGGCCCUUCGAGGUACACGAGUGGUGAACGGGUGAGUAACACGUGGGUGAUCUGCCCUGCACUUCGGGAUAAGCCUGGGAAACUGGGUCUAAUACCGGAUAGGACUCCUGCCUGCAUGGGUGGGGGUGGAAAGCUUUUGCGGUGUGGGAUGGGCCCGCGGCCUAUCAGCUUGUUGGUGGGGUGAUGGCCUACCAAGGCGACGACGGGUAGCCGGCCUGAGAGGGUGACCGGCCACACUGGGACUGAGAUACGGCCCAGACUCCUACGGGAGGCAGCAGUGGGGAAUAUUGCACAAUGGGCGCAAGCCUGAUGCAGCGACGCCGCGUGAGGGAUGACGGCCUUCGGGUUGUAAACCUCUUUCAGCACAGACGAAGCGCUAGUGACGGUAUGUGCAGAAGAAGGACCGGCCAACUACGUGCCAGCCGCCGCGGUAA